UGGGCCGGGUGACGGUGGCUUAAGACUUGUCAGUUGACAGUAACGGAGGAGUAGCUGCAGCAGUGCCUCCGCGAGCGACGGAAGGGGAAGGAAGAUAUGUUUUCCGGGAGCUUUACAAGCCUCUCCUUUCUCUCUCCUUCAUCCACACUCGCUCGUUCGCUUCUUCCCGGAGUUACUGCCUUUCACGUUCCUCGCCGCUCCUUCUCUGUCUCCCCUAGUUCCCACAGUUUUCGACUCCAAAACAAUGCAUUUCGGCCGGAGAAUUGGACGCGCAACUACUCUACUGCCGCUUUGCCUUUUGACCUCUCACCACCGCCCAUCGACCACGACCUUAUCGAUACUAUGAAAGUUGCUGGUGCAAAGGUAUUAGAGGGUGACAUAAUUGAGACCUAUGGCAAUGACGAUGAGGCCUUAACUGCAACUGAAAAUGGAGUUGCGGUUGUGGAUCUUUCACAUUAUGGUCGGAUAAGAGUUAGUGGAGAAGACCGAGUUCAGUUUCUUCACAACCAAAGUACUGCAAAUUUUGAAAUUCUUCAUGAAGGACAGGGUUGUGACACUGUUUUUGUUACACCAACAGCUCGUACCAUUGACAUUGCACAUGCAUGGAUUAUGAAAAAUGCAAUAACAUUGGUGACCUCACCAGAGACAAGUGAGAGAAUAACAUCAAUGCUUAGAAAGUACAUAUUUUUUUCUGACAAAGUAGAAAUACAAGAUAUUUCUAAGCAAACGUGCUUUUUCGUACUAGUUGGGCCUAGAAGCAACCAAAUAGUGGAAGGAUUGAAUCUUGGUGACCUUGUUGGACAACCAUAUGGUUCACACAAGCAUUACAGUGUAAAUGGGAAUCCAGUAACUAUAGCAGUGGGAAAUAUCAUAUCAGAAGAAGGUUUUUCACUGUUGGUGUCACCAGCUACUGCUAAAUCGGUCUGGAAAGCUCUUGUAGAUUAUGGUGCUGUACCCAUGGGUUCAAAUGCAUGGGAAGAAUUAAGGAUAAUUCAAGGAAGGCCAGCACCUGGUAAAGAGCUUACCGAUGAAUUUAACGUUCUGGAGGCUAAUCUUUGGAAUGCUGUUUCUCUGAAUAAAGGGUGUUAUAAGGGACAAGAAACCAUUUCUAGGCUUGUUACUUACGAUGGAAUCAAACAAAGAUUGUGGGGAAUUCGUCUAUCUUCGUCUGUAGAACCUGGCAGCAGCAUCUCAGUUGAUGGCAAAAAGGUUGGCAAACUAACCAGUGUCACAAGCAGUGGAGAUACAUCCAAGCCUUUCGGGUUGGGCUAUAUUAGGAAGAAAGCUGCUUCAGAGGGAGACACUGUAAUCAUCGGGGAUGGUGUUGUGGGGACCGUGGUGGAAGUCCCUUUUCUUGGUCGCCAACUCCCGCCAUCAUCAAAGAGUUAAUAAGACAGUUCCAGGUGUAAAAUUCUGUUCCAUUCAAGCACCAAUAAUGAUCUCUUGUAAGUGAGACAUCAUCUCUGCUAAUUUAAGCCUUGCACAAAUGGUUGGGAUAUGAUUGCAUGUGUGCAGUACAGAUCAUCAUCAUUAUAUUACAUAGACAAUCAGACUCCUGCAUGCCUAGCUAGCAAGAACUAUGGUGAAUUUACAUAUGAUUUAGAGACACAUAAACCAAACAAACCAAGAUCGACAGCAAAACUUGAACAUCAACAACAAUCUCUCAGUAUGCUGGCAACUUGGGAUCGUUGCUCUUCACUCAAAUCUGUAGGAAAACCUACGAGAAAUCUGAGUCGAAGGUCGCCUCUCUGACCUUGAUUAUUAGGCAUCCCUUGUCCAGAGCUUGGACUAAAGGGAUUUGAACUCCUAGCUCCAAAUCAUCUCCUUCCCUCUUGAACAUUGAGUGUUUCUUUUCUUCAAUCACAAAGAUCACAUCUGCCGGGAGGCAUCCUGGCCGCUCGUCUCCCUUCCCUUCAAA